GGGCAGUGUCAACAGGCAGGUAUAUGUGGCGCGCGAGCAUCUUAUCUAAUGAGUCUAUUCUUUUUCCAUUAAUAAGGCCGCCUUCUUGCUCUUUGUUGAACACGCGUGAAUAUUUAUACGAUUUACAUCGCAGAAAUUUACAUUUCCAAGGUUAAAGUAAAAUGUUUGAACAUGAGAUAAUAAACGUUCUUCGUAUAUGAAUAGUAAUAUCUGUCUGCAGUGUGCGAUAUCACGACGUGAUGAUUCAGCAAUGUCUCCAGUUUGCAUUUCCAUUAGUGAACGAAAAUUCUACACGUGUGUUCUAAAAUUUUCAAUAUACAGGAGUAACUGAACUCCAACUUAGUUCGGCAUCUGAUCCAACGAUGUCUCAUCGCAAAAUUGUAUGCGUCAGCGACGGCAAUUAUUGACAUUAGCGAAGUAAUUAAAUAAAUGUUCAAAGUUAUACUUAUGCAUUAUUGCAAUAUGUAUACAUUAUUGUGCUUGAAGAUAUUGUCCGAGAACUGCUUGUUAAAUUUUGACAUUUUCAAGAACAAUUAAGAAACCUUUGAAAACUA